UCUCCCUGCCAAUCAUCCCCUAAGGGCGGGGCCUCUCUUCCCUCCUUCGGUAGCGGCGGGGAUAGAGGCGGAACGCCAACAUGGCGGCCAUGGCGGCUCUGUCACCCUUGGUGGGGGGGGAGGGCGGAGAAGAGGAGGAAAGAGAAAGUGGUUGCCCCCUCCGCUGAGGUAGGGACGGCGCAGGGAUAUCUCCGGGUGGAGAUGAGAGUGGGCCGUGUCACGUGCAGCUUAAGGCUGCGGCUGAGCCGGAGAAGACGGCGGAGAGGAGGGGCAUGGCCGCUGCCUGGCCCCCACCCUCCCAACACACAGCUCCCGUUGCGGUAGUAGGCCUCAAGGUACCUAUAAUCUCUCAUUGAAGUGAUAGCUGUGGAGAGAUGAAUCAACUGGCUGAGUGAUGGGACUUUAUGAAUUUCAGCCUUUUAAAAAGAGUCAAGCAUUCUUUGAGAUCUAAAACAUGGCCAAGGAUCUGGAGGAGUAGUGAUGGCCUGAAUUAUGAUAUGAAGAAGCAAGACCCUGGACUUUGUCCUUCACUUUUACUGUGUUAGGCAACUUGACCAGUGCUGAUCUGAAUGGCUCCUGAAUCUUGGGAAUUAGUUGGUUUUAUCCUCAGGAAGAUAAAGACAGCCCGCACCCUUUAUAACACUUGGGUGGCAUCUAUGAGCUAUAAAUGCUGAACCACCCGAGCUUCCUGAUGAAUAACAAUGAUCCUGGAAUCAUAGAUUUAGAGCCUGAAGAAGAGGUGUGGUAGAGCCAGCUCUAACUGGUCAGAAAAGCUAAUUGUUCAAUUUUUAGGAUGAACACUUACAACUUGGAAAUUGGCAAACCCCAUAAAUCAGGGCUUGAUUUAUUAUUUUGUUGAUUGUCUAGACUCAAGAAAUUGAUGGAGAAAAUAUCCAGAAUGCAGAUUAAAUAUGAAAGUGUGUCAAGUCUACAUUCCCCUCCCACCUAAAGACAUUUGUUAAACAUUUGCCAUCAUAUCCCCAGCUGGAAGUGUCCUUGGGAGACAGUUAGGUCAAUCCCUCCUCAUUUUAUAGGUGAAGAAAGUACAUCUCAGAGACAGAUAAGUGAUUUAGGUAGUAACUGGUAGUAAUUGACAAAGGUCGCAUUUGAACUCAGGUGCCUUGAUUCUAAAUCUAGAAUGCUUCCUACUGGAUCACGAAGAGUCAUGACCACUGUCUCAUCAAUGCUUUCUGGUUAUAGAAGACACUAAUUGCUCAAGAAACAAAGGGAAUAAAUGUUUAUUUUUUUACUUCCAUUGGCCUUGGUGGUUGAGAGUUUCUUAAAAUGUCAAAGGCAAGAGAAUGAACUAAGUUGGAAUUUUCCAAACUUGUGAUUAUCUCUGUAUUCUUUGCUGGCUUAAAAAUUUUUUUUUUAGUAUGAAUUUUUCAUGAGGAUAAGGUUACAAUUUAUCUUGUUAUCUGCUUCCUCCUCCUCACUAUCCAGCUUGCUGUAUGUGUCAAUAGUUUAUAUAAACAUUCUCCAGAUUAGACAGCUGCAUAAAAAGGAGAUUUGUUUGAAAGCAGACCUUUGACAGGCAAUGAAUGCCCAGAGUCCACACACUGGAUUGUCAUUAUGGUAUAGUUCAAGGAGCCCUCUUUAUUUAUUAGUCAGUCUCGCAGAUUCACCUUCCAAAUGAAUGGGAAAUGGUUCUUUCCAAACGUAAUGCUGAAAAUUUGUAUAUUUCUUUGUAUUAUUUAAAGUACUUUCACAUAUGAUUAUUAGUUUCAGUGAGCUAGUAACCGUUAGGCAGUGUGGCAUAGCUGAUAGAGGGCUGGCUUUGGUGUCAGGAAGAACUGGAUUAAAGUCACACAUAUUGGCAAUGUACCAAGGGCAUGUUUCUCAGUGCCCCAGAUACCUUUCUAAAAGUUAUAAAAGAGUUGUCAAUCUGUGUUAAUGAAGGAAGUUUCCAUGUUGGGACUCCCCUCAGAGUUUCAAAACCAUAGCUCCAAACUGGAUCCUCUUUGCCAAAUAAGCAAAUAACAAUUAUUAAAUUUACAUAAUAUUCCUUUCCCCUCAAAGAGUUAGAAGUGGUUUACACAUUUAGAAUUUAGAGCUAAAAAGGACUUCAGAGUCCAACCCACUAAUUUUUACUUGUGGAAACUGAGACCCAGAGGAAUAAAGUAGUAAGUGCUCAAGGUCACAAAGGUAUCAAAUAUUGCUAUAAAGUAUAAACAAAUUGAAGUAUUUGGAUUCUAAAUUUAGUGCUCUUUCCACUAUUUAACCACCCUUCAGCAAUCCUACUCUGAUACCUCAUUAUGGUAAGAGGUGACUGAGCUCUCAAAGGUAUAGUAGACCAUAACUUUAGUAGUUUCUACCAAGCUGGAAGGGUUUUGAUUGCCAGCAAUAGAUCUCUAGAUAUCUACGGACUAACCUACAUAAGUUUGGGGGAUCUCAACAAUAAAAAAGUGACCACCAGGCGAUGAAUUUUUUGUCCACAGGAACUCACGAAGAGCUCAGUGACUACUUUGGAAGUAUUGAACAUUUUCAACAAUUUCCCUUUGAAGGAGAUAGAUACAAGUAUUAUUGCCACUUUAUAGGCUGGGGGCAAGGGAGGAACUGAGUUCUAGAGAACUUUACUUUUUCUCAAGUCUAUUAAAGUUAUUUAGGAUCUUAGACUUGGAUACAUGUCAUAUGAACCAAAGCCCUGUGGUUCAUACAUCAGGCUACUUUGUUAAGUUAUUUAACUUAAAAUACCUUUCUUUUAAAAAUGUUUUAUUAACGCUUCUGUAAAAACAUAACUGUCAUUUCUCAUUGACUCUGUCUCCACCCUCCAAAUAAAACUUUGUAUCAGAACCCUCUCUUAGAGAAGAUAAAUAUAAUCAAAACAAAUGAAUAUGCCAUGUCUGAAAUGUGAGCCUUAUCCUAUUCUUCUAGCCCACAACCUCUACCACUUACAAGAUUUGUGACUAAGGGCAAGUAAGUCCCUUAACUUCUGUGAGGCUUAGUUUCCUUAUUUGAAAAAAUGUGGAUAAGCUCUGCUUUACUGACCUCAUAGGGUAAUUGUGAAAGAAGCUUAGAAUAUGAGUGCCUUGAGGGCAGGGAUAAUUUUUUUCCUUUGUCUUAUCCUCAGUACAUAAUAAAUACUUAAUAAAAACCAACUAAGACAUAGAGCACUGUGUAAAUGUGAGAUAUAGAAAGUAGACUGCAGGGGGCAGAGAAUAUUGUCUCAUCUCUGCAACCAGGAGAGUAGACCUUGAUAUGCAUUAAUACACUGGAAAAAAGUAAUUUGUAAUUCAAUUUGACAAACUAUUAAGUCCCUAC